AGUUAGGUCAGCUAAUUAAGCUCUUGGGCCCAUACCCCAAAAAUGUUGGUUAGACCCCAACCCUCACUA
rnacentral:tRNA from 1 species